rnacentral:pre_miRNA from 1 species
UCUUGGCACAGGGCUGAAUUGCGGGAGGACUUAUAUGAUUCUACCCCUUUUCAUUUUUAUACUGCUUUGGAG